rnacentral:rRNA from 1 species
AGUGCCUACGGGGGGCAGCAGUGGGGAAUAUUGCACAAUGGGGGAAACCCUGAUGCAGCGACGCCGCGUGAGCGAAGAAGUAUUUCGGUAUGUAAAGCUCUAUCAGCAGGGAAGAAAAUGACGGUACCUGACUAAGAAGCACCGGCUAAAUACGUGCCAGCAGCCGCGGUAAUACGUAUGGUGCAAGCGUUAUCCGGAUUUACUGGGUGUAAAGGGAGCGCAGGCGGUGCGGCAAGUCUGAUGUGAAAGCCCGGGGCCCAACCCCGGUACUGCAUUGGAAACUGCCGUACUUGAGUGUCGGAGGG